GGCGGUGGUGAAGAAGGACGAGACUGUGAGCUACUUGGGGCAGCAGACGAAUAAUAUUGGAAAUUUCUUGUUGGAGAAGAAGGACCAGACGACAAGCUAUUUUGGAGGGAAGACUGAGGUGGCCAAGCAGAAGGGGACAGAGACGGCUCAGACAGCCCGCGAUACUGCAGAGGCCGGCAAGAAGCAGACCGGCAGCUACCUUCAGCAAGCGGGAAACAUGGUGACGAGCGCUGCACAGGGA
rnacentral:misc_RNA from 1 species